rnacentral:rRNA from 1 species
ACGCGUUGGGAGCUCUCCCAUAUGGUCGACCUGCAGGCGGCCGCGAAUUCACUAGUGAUUGGAAACAGAUGCUAAUACCGGAUAAGAAAGCAGAUCGCAUGAUCAGCUUUUAAAAGGCGGCGUAAGCUGUCGCUAUGGGAUGGCCCCGCGGUGCAUUAGCUAGUUGGUAAGGUAAAGGCUUACCAAGGCGAUGAUGCAUAGCCGAGUUGAGAGACUGAUCGGCCACAUUGGGACUGAGACACGGCCCAAACUCCUACGGGAGGCAGCAGUAGGGAAUCUUCCACAAUGGACGCAAGUCUGAUGGAGCAACGCCGCGUGAGUGAAGAAGGUUUUCGGACCGUAAAGCUCUGUUGUUGGUGAAGAAGGAUAGAGGUAGUAACUGGCCUUUAUUUGACGGUAAUCAMCYAGAAAGUCACGGCUAACUACGUGCCAGCAGCCGCGGUAAUACGAUAAUCGAAU